rnacentral:sRNA from 1 species
CAAAAUAUGCAUGCUUAUGGCGCUUUACUUAUUGUUGCAUUGAGCACUCUCCUGAUCUUCAUUUAUAAUUGUUCUGAUCAAGUUCUAGUUACUCGAGAAAGGAGAAAGGCGAAAUCUAGAGAAGCUGCUGCUAAACAGGUAAGGGAAACUGUGCAGGCUAGGGAACGAUGGAAAAUAGCAAAAGAUAUUGCUAAGAAAGGUAAAGGGGGAGGAUUAGGUGAGCAAUUAUCUCGAACCUUUUCUCGGAAAAAAUCAGCGAAAUCAGAUACCGUAAAGGUUGGUAACCAAGCUAAACGUGGUAUGGGAGAUACGUUUUUGCCAUCGGUACAAAAUUCUUCAAGCUAUGAGCAACAGUCUGCAGCUUCAGACGUGCAAAAAAAGGAACCUACCAACCUUACUAAAAUGUUGAAUUCCCUUGAGGAUGACCCACAUAGCAAUGAAGGAUUCAACCUACAAAUUGGAGAUAAAAACAUCAAAAAGCAGAUGCCAAAGGGCAAGAAUUUACACACACAAAGCCAAAUUUUAAGGUAUGCUUAUGGUCAAAUUGAGAAGGAGAAAGCUCAACAAGAGAAAAACAAGAACUUGACUUUCUCCGGAGUUAUUUCGAUGGCCACAGAAGGUGAGGUUCGAACAAGGCCUGUGAUUGAGGUAGCUUUUAAGGACUUAACUCUCACUUUGAAAGGUAAAAGAAAACAUCUACUGAGAUGUGUGUAUGGUAAACUCAUGCCGGGUAGAGUUUCUGCUGUGAUGGGUCCCUCAGGAGCUGGCAAAACUACAUUUCUUUCUGCAUUGGCAGGGAAGGCAAGAGGAUGCACUAUGACAGGAUCAAUUCUAAUUAAUGGAAAGGCCGAAUCCAUUCACUGUUAUCGGAAAAUUAUUGGUUUUGUUCCACAAGAUGAUAUUGUGCAUGGGAACUUGACCGUGGAAGAAAAUCUUCGUUUCAGUGCAAGAUGCAGACUAUCCGCGGAUAUGCCAAAACCAGACAAGGUUCUGAUUGUUGAAAGAGUGAUUGAGUCCUUAGGACUCCAGGCAGUGAGGGAUUCCCUUGUUGGGACAGUAGAAAAACGAGGUAUAUCUGGGGGACAACGUAAACGUGUAAAUGUAGGGAUGGAAAUGGUUAUGGAGCCAUCAUUAUUAAUCUUAGAUGAACCUACAACUGGUUUAGACAGUGCAUCUUCCACUUUAUUGCUUAAAGCACUUCGUCGUGAAGCACUAGAAGGGGUAAAUAUCUGCAUGGUACUUCAUCAACCAAGCUAUACUUUGUUCAGAAUGUUUGAUGAUAUAGUGUUUCUAGCCAAAGGUGGUCUUACUGCAUAUCAUGGUCCUGUUAAGAAAGUAGAAGAAUACUU